UACGGAGGGGGCUAGCGUUGUUCGGAAUUACUGGGCGUAAAGCGCACGUAGGCGGCUUUGCAAGUUAGAGGUGAAAGCCCGGAGCCCAACUCCGGAAUUGCCUUUAAAACUGCAUCGCUAGAAUUGUGGAGAGGUAAGUGGAAUUCCGAGUGUAGAGGUGAAAUUCGUAGAUAUUCGGAAGAACACCAGUGGCGAAGGCGACUUACUGGACACAUAUUGACGCUGAGGUGCGAAAGCGUGGGGAGCAAACAGG
rnacentral:rRNA from 1 species